CAAGGGGCAGAGCCGGGAUUCGAACCCACGACCGCUGACUCCCAAGCCCGGGCUCUUGCCACUGAGCCACGCUGCGGGUCAGGGGAGUCGGACGGCCGAGAGGGGGGCGGAGGAUGGGGGCGGCCCAAGACACCCCUCCCCUCCCCCCGCCUGUCUGGGUUGGGGACACGUGGAGGAGAGGAGGCCGGCCGACUCCGGCCUGAGCCUGUCUCCCUUUCUGCCCCUCGGUUUGACCCAUCUCUGAAACGGGCCCGUCCCGGGAGAGGCAACCCUAAGCGUCCUGCAGCCCCCAUCCCCGGCCAGCCACCGCAGCCCGUCUCCUUCCGGGGCAAACUCCCCCCUCGCCCCCGGCCCCAUCCGCCCCUGCCGCCUGCGGGGGCGAAGCCCAGGGCAGAGCCAAGGCCUAGGGUUGCGGGGGGGGGGGGGCGGGCUUGGGGACGGGGAGGAGGGCUCUCCCCACAUCCUGGGGGUAGUCACCGAGGGGAGACCCCGUGCCUCUCCAGGGGUCCGCCGCUCCCCCCGGGAGGGUCCGGGGCAGGGCCGGGGGCGCCAUCCUCACCCCCUGCCGCCUCCUCGCCCUGCCCUGGACCUGCCCCCGGCCCGGGUCCCCGUGACGCCGUUCUUUCUGCCUCCACAGUCUGCACCCGACCCUGGGAGCGGCCCCCUGCGAGCACCUCCUCCCUUCCCAGCCCCCGGCCGCCCCAUGAUGCCUCCGCCCUUCGUAAGUUGCCCCCCGGGGCCUCCCCUCCCCUCCCCUCCCUUCCGGCCGCCUUGGGGCACCCCCCACCCCCGGCUCGGAUCCGGCCUCCGGCUCCAGGUCCUCCAUCCCGACUCCCCCCCAAACCCCAAGCCGGUCAGCCACGUUUGCUGAGCGCCCCUGUGGCGCAGAGCGCUCAACUAAACGCUCGGGAACGGCCGGUCCGCGACCCCCGCCCCGAGGGAGCGUCCGCCGGGGAAGGGGAAGGAGACGCGGGGACGGGGACGCGGGCCCCCAGAGCCAAAGGCCGCUCCCGCCUCGAGGGUGGCUGCCCACCGCCGGGCCCCCCGGCCGGGCCCCCCGGCCCUCUGCCUCAGCCCCUUCCCCUUCCCCUCUCUCUGUCUCUCCGUCUCUCCCCCUGCAGAUGCCGCCGCCGCCGCCGCCGCCCGGGAUCCCCCCGCCCUUCCCUCCGAUGGCGCUGCCCCCGCUGCCCCAGAGGCCGCCGGCCGUGCCCCCGGGCAUGA
rnacentral:lncRNA from 1 species